GAGGGUAUAGUUCAGUUGGUAAAGUGCCUGCUUAGCAUGCAUGAAGUCCUGGGUUCAAUCCUCAGUACUUCCA
rnacentral:tRNA from 1 species